AUACGAAAGGUGCAAGCGUUGUUCGGAUUUACUGAGCGUAAAGAGAGUGUAGGUUGUUUAUUAAGUCGGAUGUGAAAUCCCGGGGCUCAACCUCGGAACUGCAUUCGAUACUGGUAGACUAGAGUUCGGGAGGGGUAAGCGGAAUUCCGUGUGUAGCAGUGAAAUGCGUAGAUAUACGGAGGAACACCUGAGGCGAAGGCGGCUUACUGGACCGAUACUGACACUGAGACUCGAAAGCGUGGGUAGCAAACAGGAUUAGAUACCCUAGUAGUCC
rnacentral:rRNA from 1 species